GUAAUCUCAAUUGUCAGAAUCACAUACAAGUAUAGUGUGUAAAUCAUGCCACGACUCUUUGUGUCACCAGGUGAUAACGUGACGAUUAAUGUAAGUGAUGGCGCCAGUUACUAUGGCCCCAUCAUACGUAACUCAACAAUGCAGAGCAGCGAAAUGAAUGCGAAUAUUGGGUCCAACAAAAAUAAGGAGGACACCAACAGCACUGCAGAUAAUCAGGAGUCUGAGGAAGAUCCAAAGUGACUCUAAUGACAUAGAAAACACUGUUAGAACCAUCAGAGACCUCAGCCUGCACAAGUCUGCACAUAGAGCCACACAACGCUCUACUGUUUACUACCAACCACUUCAGGUCACAUAUUGUAUACAGGCCAGUCAUACCUCCACACUCAGGUUUGUUUACAAUAAAAGUACUUUAGUGUGUGUUUUACAUUAUAUUGUUUUCCCUGUGUAACAUUCCCUUCAGGCUCCUGAUCAUUCCAGCAUACCGAUGGAGAUACAGUAGUGAUUGUUGAUUGUCUAUUCGCUCUGUAUUUUCUCUGCCAGUUUUUUCUACUUUUUCUGAUGAAUUUUGGGCUUAAAGUCUUAAUAGCAUUUGAAUUUAUAACGUGGACUCUUUUUAUAUUCUUAUAAUGUAUUGCAUGCAUUGAGAGUGCGGUGGUGGGGCCACAGGGGGGGGUUUGUAAUUGUGACUACAAUAAAGAAACGCUUUGUCUUUGUACUCAUCACAUUGAGAAAUGACUAAGUUUUCAUUAUUUUCC
ensembl:lncRNA